UGAAACAUUAGUUCCCAUAUGAUCACUGAAGUUAAGCAACAUUGAGCCUGGUCAGUAUCUAUAUGGGUGACUGCUUAGGAAUACCAGGUGCUGUAAU